AGGACGUUAAAAAUAUUUUUUUUUAAUUACUACUUAUUUUAAAUUUAUUUAUUUUUACCUUUUUAUUUUAAAACUAUAAUAUAACUUAUAGCUUGAGAAAAUAUUUUGUUUUGUUUUUUAAAAGAUUUCGAAUAUAAAAUAACACAAUAAUAAGUCAAUUUUCAAGGACAUCUUACAACGUUUUAAAGCUAUAAUAGUUCCAACUAGUGACAUCUUUUAACAGGCUUAUGGUGGAUUAAAAGUAAUAUAGGCCAAUCAUUAGGCAUUAAUUGGCGAUUUAUAUAUAGAUUUAAAACUGAAGUUCUGUUAUUAAAGUUUUAGAGACUUUAAAACUAAUGUACAAUAGUUCUCAAUAAAAAUAAAAAAAUUCCUUAAAUAGAAUUUUUGAAAAUUUUAUCUAAAAUAUACAACCAAUUGAUACAAAAAUCUUAAAAAAUACUCAUCUAUCAACAAAAAUUCUUGUUAUCCUAAUUUCUAAAUCACAACCCCAAAUCUACAAUAUUUCUAUAAAAAAAAUGAAAACUUUCUUAAAAUAAAAUUUUUGAAAAUUAUUUUUAAAAAAUACAACUAUUGAUCAAAAAAUCUAAAAGAAUACACAUUUAUCAACAAAAAUUCUUGUUAUCGAAAUUUCUAAAUCAGAACCCCAAAACUACAAUAGUUCUCAAUAAAAAUAAAAACUUUCCUUAAAUAGAAUUUUAGACAAUUUAUCUAAAAUAUACAACCUAUUGAUAAAUUUUUUUUAAAGAAUACACAUCUAGCAACAAAUGUUUUUUCAAAAUCAAAACCUCAAAACUACAAUAGUUCUCAAUAGAAAUAAAAACUUUCCUUAAAUAGAAUUUUUGAGAAUUUUAUCUAAAAUAUACAACCUAUUGAUAAAAAAAAAUCUUAAAAAAUACUCAUCUAUCAACAAAAAUUCUUAUUAUCCUAAUUUAUAAAUCACAACCCCAAAUCAACAAAAUUUCUAUUAAAAAUUAAAACUUUCCUAUAAUAGAAUUUUUGAGAAUUUUAUCUAAAAAAAAACACUUAUUGAUCAAAAACCUAAAAUAAUACUCAUCUACCAACAAAAGUUCUUGUUAUCCUAAUUUAUAAAUCACAAUCACAAUCUCAAAUCUACAAUAUUUCUACAAAAAAUGAAAAAUAUCCUAAAAUAGAAUUGUUGAGAAUUAUUUUUUAAAAAUACAACUAUUUAUCAAAAAGUCUAAAAGAAUACACAUCUAUCAACAAAAAAUCUUUGUUAUCAAAAUUCCCAAAUCAGAACCCCAAAACUACAAUAGUUCUCAAUAAAAAUAAAACUUUCAUUAAACAAAAUUUUUGAGAAUUUUAUCUUAAAUAUACAACUAAUUGAUAAAAAAAUCUUAAAAAAUACUCAUCUAUCAAAAAAUUCUUGUUAUCCUAAUUUCUAAAUCACAACCCCAAAUCUACAAUAUUUCUAUAAAAAAUAAAAAAAAAAUCCUAAAAUAGAAUUUUUGAAAAUAAUUUUUUAAAAAUACAACUAGUGAUCAACAAAUCUAAAAGAAGACACAUCUAUCAACAAAAAUUCUUGUUAUCAUAAUUUCUAAAGCAGAACCCCAAAAAUACAAUAGUUCUCAAUAAAAAUAAAAUAUUUCCUUAAAUAAAAUUUUUGAUAAUUUUAUCUAAAAUAUACAACUAAUUGAUAAAAAAAAUCUUAAAAAAUCUUAGAAAAUACUCAUCGAUCAACAAAAAUUCUUGUUAUCCUAAUUUCUAAAUCAGAACACCAAAAUUACAAUAGUUCUCAAUAAAAAUAAAAACUUUUCUUAAAUAGAAUUUUUGAGAAUUGUAUCUAAAAUAUACAACCUAUUGAUAAAAAAAUCUUAAAAAAUACUCAUCUAUCACCAAAAAUUCUUGUUAUUCUAAUUUCUAAAUCGCAACCCCUAAUCUACAAUAUUUCUAUAAAACAUUAAAACUUUCCUAAAAUAGAAUUUUUGAGAUUUAUUUUUAAAAAAUAAAACAAUUGAUCAAAAAAUCUUAAAAAAUACUCAUCUAUAAUAAAAAAAAUUCUUGUUGUCCUAAUUUCUAAAUCAAAACGCCAAAUCCACAAUAUUAUUCACAAAAAUGAAAAAUUUCCAAAAAUAGAAUUUUUGAGAAUCUUAUAUAAUAAAAUAGACUUUUCUCCCUCACUCAUGCUGCCACAUCAUCUGGGAGAAGAGGGCAAAACAUGCCACGUGGCAACUCUUUAUUCCGCUACUAGCUGCGAAAGAAUAAAGGGAUAUGGGCUUUUUUACUUAAAAAUUGUUGGUGAUGGGCUCUGUUUGUCCUAGAGCUUCAGUAGACGGUAUAAACAAACAAAUCUGAAUCCUGACGAUCCUAUUUCCCCUUACAGGCGAUGAAACUUUCAACCGUUUUGACAUUCAAUCCAUCGAACCCGCUAAUCCCCACUAUCUCAUCUUUAUUGUGCUUUUACUUCGAUGUUCUUAAGCUUCUACCGGUAUAUAUGCAGACCUAGACCUUCAGAGUUGCCUCUUCAAUCCCUCUUCUUCUUCCGAUUCAUCUUCUCUUUCAGUCUCAAUCAAUAUUUCCACUGCCCAGACCCAUUUUCCGAGUUUAAGGGAUGCUGAUGCAGUCUGGCCCAGACGCAACCUCUCCGCUUCUAAGAGGCUAGGUAUGUUUAAAAAAAGGAGGCCAAUUGAUAUGCUGCUUCUUGAUGCAAGCUUCUUCCCAGGAAACGGAAACUGCGAUUCAGGCGUCUAUUAAGUGAUGUAACACGUAGCAUCCCUAGCUUCCGCUUUAGCCAGUCCACGCACUGACCAAACCGUGUUCGUUGAGCUUCACGAACCGUUUGAAGCAAUCCCGACUGAGAGUUUCAGGUUCCACAAUUACAAUCAGCCACUCAAAUAUCUGUCUAAGUGUAGUGGCACCAACAUCAGCCCCAAAUUAUUUGGAGGGAGACUUUACCUAAAUGCAAUCUCUGCCACUCAUCUCUAUUUUGGUAAUGAGUAUUUUGGUAAUGAGUGUGAUGCUGGGAGAAGUUAUCUCCAGAGUGCGUAAGGAUCAACCUCAAACCCUACAAAGUAUCAGAUUGUUAAGAAGAUUGAGGCAAUGACGUGGCAGAACUAAAUGACUACGCCCUCAAAUUGUACCUCAGCGGAGAUGACCACCCAGUCGAUGAUAUGCCAGGGGCUGGAGCUGUCAAAAGAAGCCCCAUUGAUGGGGUCAAUAGCAGUGGCGUGAAUGAAGGUGGGUGUAUCGAAACUGCUCAUGUCUAAGGUGGAGAAGAGGAGCGCCAAGUAACAACUCAGGUGAAGGUGGGAACCGAAGCGAGGAUGCUCAAGUCAACAAGAGCAAGUUGAGUCCUCUGGAAAUAAACCACGGACUGAGUGAUGAAGCACAACAAGGGGAGUUGAAGUUAUAAGACAUGUGAACAUGUCUGUCGCAUUAGGCUUUUUAAUUUAUUUUACAAAACAAUGAAGUCAGAGUACUUCAAGUAGUUUACAUAUUAAGUUCUAUUGCUUCACUGUCACUCUAUUUGCUUCCGCUUAAACUGCUACAAUCAAAUAAACUUGAACGGAGCUCAUUUCAACCACAAUUACUGAAAGAUCAAGCUCUGCUAUUCCACCAAAACCAAGGUAAUUAAUUGCUCACUGAGCAAAGGUAUGGAAAUUCUUUGAAUUUGCUCUCCACGUGAAAGAGCUGAAUGUAUUUUUUUCUUUUUUUCUUUUUUUGUAUUUGAUUCAGUUUGAGUUACAAUAUGUGUUUAAGACUUUUAGAUGCUUUUAUUUUUUGAUGCAAGUUGUUAUCUCUUCUAUUUUAUGGUUCUAAACUUGUGAUGUGAGCAUCUUUGAUCACUAAGUUUGAAACUUUUGUGAUUCAUCUUAAACUUGAACAAUGAGUUACAAUGAUGAUAAGUUUUCUUUUUGACAAAAGAUUCUCUUGAAUAAUUUAAAUUAAGAUUCAGCGAGAAAAAAAGAAACACCACCGCAAUGCAAAAGCUAGGAAGAGAUUCAUCCACCAAACAUGGUACCGUUGAAUAAAUAUAAUCAUUAGUAAUGAGUGGUAGAGGUAAUGGUAUAGAAACCAGACGAUGGAGUGGCAGCUACAUCCGUCCCGUCCGACAAUGAAGAAGUAAACAGAGCACAUGCUAUGUUUUUUUACGACAGAGAGCAGAUGUAUCACCAAUAAGAACAUGUGUUUUUAAGAUAUUUGCUUAUCACCAAUAAUGGUUUUCCCGGGUGAAGAAUGGGCCUUCUGAAGGAUGGCCCAUUAGUUGUAUCUUAGCGCACAGACUAACAUACACUUUCUCAAAUUAGUUAUCUCCUCCGCUGUUUAGCAGCAAAGUCAACAUUUGCUCAAACGAGAAACCUAAGAGUUCAGAUUAACUAAUGUACAUCUGAGGAUGUCCAGAAGAGUUCAACACACAAACAAAGAAACUAAGGAAAAUAAAAAA